AAAAAAUAGAUGUUUAUAUAUAUAUAUAUAUUUUAAAUGUUCCUAUUCAUAGUUUUAAACAUCUGGCAGCUCUUCAUGUUACAUGAAUAAAAAAUGUAUGUUCUUUAUUGCUGUUAUAUUUUCAGAUUAACCUGAUUGUUUGAAAAGAAAAUGAUGCGUUGUGGUGUUCCCUCAUCGUGAAUCAGGUUAAAGAGCCCCAGACCUGCCGGUAACACUCAUUCACACAUGCAUACAGAGAAAUGUGAAAUAAAAAGCUGCACAUGCGUCUCAUGGGAGCAGCUGCAGGUUAAACAGUCGCUCCUCUCAGUCAGUGAUCUCCAUGGUGUCAGCAGAUGCUCUAUACACGCGUUAACUCAUUACACAGACAGGAGAGAGACUUUCCAUACCCACAAUUAAUGCAGCGUGGAACCUCUGAGAACAAUCCCAGAAUGCACUGCGCUUUUAAUUCCUUGUCAGAUCAAAUGCACACAUGUAACACACUUAUUUUUUUUAUUAUUAGAUUUUUAUAGUUUCUAAAGAAAAUGAGUUUUUCUUGUGAAAUAUGCAUUGGGGUGAUUGCUAGGUUGUUUGUUUAUUAACCCAAGUCCAAGAAAUCCACAUUGAAGUCUAUACAUUAAUAUAGUUCCAUUAAGUUAAAGUGUAACACUUACUGUAAUAUCUGGAGUAAUAAUCAACCACCACUUACUAGCAAAAUAAAAAACAUUAGCCUCUCGUGGAAAAUCUCAGCAAGGCCUGGAAAUAUUGUAUGCAAAUGAGCAUUUUAGAGACUCGUUGUACAGUAUUACAUGAAACGCUCUGCACUUCACAGAAUGAGAGAUCUUCUAGAAAGCUCUCCAGAUAAUUCUCCAUCCCCUCACAAGUGCUUACCGGCUCUAUUUAUGCCUGCUAAGUACCCUAGAGAGAGUGUGCGAGGGUCUCUGCGGUAUAUUGCUCUGUCAAUAUGCCCCACUUGCAGGUACACAAGUCUGGGAUGAAGUCGCUGACAAACACGAGGAAGAGAUGACGACUUUGUCAUCAUUUAUUGUAGUUUUUUUCCUUCUAGGAUUCUUUUGUUCUUCACGGAGUGAGAGUUGUGUCGCAGGUAACGUCAGUUUGUCGGUGUCUGUCAGCAAGAACUCGACUCUGCUGGUUGACUGGAACAGCGGGAGCAAACAGACGACCCAAUGUGCUCUGCUCGUCUCAACCGAAGGAAGACAGGAGAUCCAGAUACACCUUUUACCAUGGUCUGGAUCGCUCCUGCUGGAAAACAUGACAGACAAUGGCAAACACUACUUCUUAUGUACUUGUUUUGAACAAUCACAGGGACUUUUGUGCUCCAAGAACAUAAGUCUUGUUAUGGGGCCUGUCUCUGCACCACCUCUGGUCCUGAUGUCAGAUACUCAGAGCUCUGCCAGUUACAUCAGCAUGAAAUGGUUGAGCAGCGGUGUGUUUGGAAUGACUUUAGCAACAUUUGUCAUUUUUCUAAUCUACAUUAUAUACAGAAGAUGGACGGGGAACGGCGUCUUCCAACUGCGUCUGAGAUAA
ensembl:lncRNA